rnacentral:rRNA from 1 species
GAGUAAAGAUUUCGGUCGCUUUGGGAGGAGCUCGCUUACUAUCAGCUUGUUGGUAGGGUAAUGGCCUACCAAGGCUAUGACGGUUAGGGGGUGUGAGAGCAUGACCCCCAGCAUUGGCACUGAAACACUGGCCAAACACCUACGGGUGGCUGCAGUCGAGAAUCUUCCACAAUGGGGGAAACCCUGAUGGAGCGAUGCUGCGUGCGGGAUGAAGGCCUUCGGGUUGUAAACCGCUUUUGUAGGGGACGAAAUUUUUGACGGUACCCUUUCGAAUAAGAGGUUGCUAACUCUGUGCCAGCAGCAGCGGUAAUACAGAGACCUCAAGCGUUAUCCGGAUUUACUGGGCGUAAAGCGUCUGUAGGGGGUUUAUUAAGUUCCAAGUAAAAUUUCAAGGCUCAACUUUGAAUUCGUUUGGAAAACUAAUAAACUGGAGUCUAGCAGAGGUGCAUGGAACUUGUGGUGUAGGAGUGAAAUCCGUUGAUAUCACGAGGAACACCAAAGGCGAAGGCAUUGCACUGGGCUAGCACUGACCCUGAGAGACGAAAGCGUGGGGAGCAAAACGGAUUAGAUACCCGUGUAGUCCACGCCCUAAACGAUGAAUGCUAAAUGUUCGGGGAUUCGACCCCCUGGGUGUUACAGCUAACGCGUUAAGCAUUCCGCCUGGGAAGUACGGCCGCAAGGCUAAAACUCAAAGGAAUAGACGGGGAUCCGCACAAGCGGUGGAGCGUCUGGUUUAAUUCGACAGUAAGCGUGGUACCUCACCAGGGUUUGACAUCCCUUGACAGCCUUGGAAACAAGGUUUCCUUCGGGCAAGGUGACAGGUGCUGCAUGGUCGUCGUCAGUUCGUGCCGUGAGGUGUUCCGUUAAGUCGGGAAACGAACGAAACCCCUAUUGCAUGUUACAAUUUCUCAUGCAAGACUGCCCGGAUAUACUGGGAGGAAGGUGGGGAUGACGUCAGAUCUGCAUGGUCCUUAUACCCUGGGCGACACAGGCGCUACAAUGGCAGAGACAAAGGGUUGCAAAACCGCAAGGUGAAGCUAAUCCCAAAAACUUUGUCUAAGUUCGGAUUGAAGGCUGCAAUUCGCCUUCAUGAAGCUUGAAUCGCUAGUAAUCGUGAAUCAGCCACGUCACGGUGAAUAUGUUCCCGGAUCUUGUACUCACCGCCCGUCACACCAAGAGAGUUGGUAGCUCCCGAAG